rnacentral:rRNA from 1 species
GAUCCUGGCUCAGGACGAACGCUGGCGGCGUGCCUAAUACAUGCAAGUAGAACGCUGAAGGAGGAGCUUGCUUCUCCGGAUGAGUUGCGAACGGGUGAGUAACGCGUAGGUAACCUGCCUGGUAGCGGGGGAUAACUAUUGGAAACGAUAGCUAAUACCGCAUAAGAGUAGAUGUUGCAUGACAUUUGCUUAAAAGGUGCAAUUGCACCACUACCAGAUGGACCUGCGUUGUAUUAG